UACCAGCACCCCGAGUGGUCGGGACGAUUAUUGGGCCUAAAGCAUCCGUAGCCGGUUCUACAAGUCUUCCGUUAAAUCCACCUGCUUAACAGAUGGGCUGCGGAAGAUACUAUAGAGCUAGGAGGCGGGAGAGGCAAGCGGUACUCGAUGGGUAGGGGUAAAAUCCGUUGAUCCAUUGAAGAUCACCAGUGGCGAAGGCGGCUUGCCAGAACGCGCUCGACGGUGAGGGAUGAAAGCUGGGGGAGCAAACCGG
rnacentral:rRNA from 1 species